AAUCAUGUGAAGAUUUAGGAGAAUUUUGCAGCAUGAGCAGACUGAGCAUUUCACUUGGCUCAUCUGUGUUCCUACCAUGCACUGCUCGGCCAGCCAGUUCCAACUGGGUGACAUGGAGCCACAUUCCCAACAUGUUAAGUACCAGGACCCCAGAAAUGGCAGAGUUAAAACCUUUCCAUUUUGGAGCUUGGAGGGAAACUACUCCAUCAGAAUUGAUGAUCUUGGGUUAACAGACCUCGGAUGUUACUCCUGUAUACAAGGUGAAAACUGUUUUCAAGUGGUGAUGGUUGAAGUAGAACCACGUGCAGGUACAAGGAGGGACAUGCAGAUGAUUUACAUCUGUGUUAGUGUGGCUGCUCUCCUUCUGCUGUGUGUUGGCGUCUACACCUGCAAGAAAUGCAUAGGAACAAAAAGGUAAAGGACAACAGAAUUUUCCACUCCUACAUGUUCAUCUUCAGCAGAGGGGGGAAAACAAACAAAAACUAAAGAAGAAAAGCCUAAAAAGAACGCAAAGAAUAAUGAUAAAAUAUAUUCAACAAAUAAAUAAAUUAUUCACAGCUAAAAAGAAAAAAUCAUUGUUAAUUCUGCUCUGUUACUUUUUCGUUUUGUAUAUAAUCCAACUUAAUUUGAUUUCUUGUGGUUACUUUUUCCUUUAAAUUGUUUUUUGGUGAACUGUGUGUUCCAUCAUUGUAACACAGGUCUAUGCCUUACUUUCUGGUUGAAUCAUUAUAAUGUUCUGUGAACUGUUUUGGACUAUUAUUAAAUAAAUCAAAGAAGAAAUUUGCAGGAUGAUGAUCAAUGGAGAUACAACUUCCAUUAAACCAUAAAUGGAAUUUAAGGUUUAAUGCAUUAAAUCAUAUUUGUAUAUAGCCUAUAGUGUAGCUCCAACACCCUCGAGCUCAGGAGAAAAGUGAAUGAGGGCACGCUGUUGAACAAAACAUGCUUCAGAAUUAUUUCCAUACCUCACCUGUACUGGCUGGUUAACGGGACAGACAACAACAAUCCAAAAUAAAGAAUGAAAUUCACACCUCUUUUGUUACACAGCAUUUUGAGAUCCCACUCUACUUUCUAGUCUGUCACUUUGGACUGGCUUCAGGUUUUUCUUUAUUCAAGGAUUAAAAUGGGGUUUUGGCAGGCAAACACAGUCCAAACA